rnacentral:rRNA from 1 species
GACGAACGCUGGCGGCGGGCUUAACACAUGCAAGUCGAACGGAAAUGCCCUGGUUUUGGGGGGUGCUCUAGGGGCGAACGGGUGACUAACCCGUGGGUUACCUGCCCUUGACUUUGGGAUGACUUCAUGAAGCUUGGGCUAAUACCGGAUAGGAUCUCCUGCUGCAUGGUGGGGGUUGGAAAGUUUCGGCGGUUGGGGAUGGACUCGCGGCUUAUCAGCUUGUUGGGGGGGUGGUGGCUGACCAAGGCUUGGACGGGUAGCCGGGCUGAGAGGAUGAGCGGACCCACUGGGAUUGAGAUGAGGCACAGACUCCAACGGGAGGCAGGAGAGGGGAAUAUUGUACAAUGGGAGGAAGGCUGAUGCAGCCAAGCCGCGUGCGGGAUGAGGGGAUGCGGGUUGGAUACCGAUUCCGCCUGUGACGAAGCGAGAGUGACGGUAAUGGGUAAAGAAGCACCGGCUAACUACGUG